GAAUGGCUCAUUAAAUCAGUUAUGGUUCCUUAGAACAUACUUCCUACUUGGAUAUCUGUGGCAAUUCUAGAGCUAAUACAUGCAGUGAACACUGAUCCUUUUUAGGUGACGUGUGCUUUUAUUAGACCAAGAUCAAUCGGGCUUCGGUCCGGAAUUUGUGUGGUGACUCUGGGUAACUUAGAGCAGAUCGCACAGCCAAGAGCUGGCGACAAUUCUUUCAAGUGUCUGCCUUAUCAACUGUCGAUGGUAGGUUAUGCGCCUACCAUGGUUGUUACGGGUAACGGAGAAUCAGGGUUCGAUUCCGGAGAGGGAGCCUGAGAAACGGCUACCACAUCCAAGGAAGGCAGCAGGCGCGCAAAUUACCCACUCCCGGCACGGGGAGGUAGUGACGAAAAAUAACAAUACGGGACUCUUUUGAGGCCCCGUAAUUGAAAUGAGUACACUCUAAAUCCUUGUACGAGGAUCAAUUGGAGGGCAAGUCUGGUGCCAGCAGCCGCGGUAAUUCCAGCUCCAAUAGCGUAUACUAAAGUUGUUGCGGUUGAAAAGCUCGUAGUUGGAUCUCAGUUCCAGUCGGGAGGUACAUCGAACCGAUGAUACCUCUCGCUCUGAACAUCAUGCCUGCUGUUUCUUGGUCCUCUUCAUUGGGUGCCUUGAGGCGGUCGGUGCUUUUACUUUGAAAAAAUUAGAGUGCUCAACGCAGGCGCAUUGCCUGAAUACCGUUGCAUGGAAUAAUGGAGCAAGACCUCGUAUCUGUUCUGUUGGUUUUUGGAAAACGAGGUAAUGAUUAAGAGGGACAGACGGGGGCAUUCGUAUUGCGGCGCUAGAGGUGAAAUUCUUGGACCGUCGCAAGACGAACUACUGCGAAAGCAUUUGCCAAGAAUGUUUUCAUUGAUCAAGAACGAAAGUUAGAGGUUCGAAGGCGAUCAGAUACCGCCCUAGUUCUAACCAUAAACGAUGCCAACCAGCAAUCCGCCAGAGUUCCUCAAAUGACUCGGCGGGCAACUUCCGGGAAACCAAAGUAUUUGGGUUCCGGGGGAAGUAUGGUUGCAAAGCUGAAACUUAAAGGAAUUGACGGAAGGGCACCACCAGGAGUGGAGCCUGCGGCUUAAUUUGACUCAACACGGGAAAACUUACCCGGCCCGGACACUGGGAGGAUUGACAGAUUGAGAGCUCUUUCUUGAUUCGGUGGAUGGUGGUGCAUGGCCGUUCUUAGUUGGUGGAGCGAUUUGUCUGGUUAAUUCCGAUAACGAACGAGACUCUAGCCUAUUAAAUAGGUGCGAGGUCCAUUGUGCCUCGCAACCUUCUUAGAGGGACAAGCGGCCUUCUAGCCGCACGAAACAGAGCAAUAACAGGUCUGUGAUGCCCUUAGAUGUCCGGGGCCGCACGCGCGCUACACUGAAGGAUACAGCGUGUGCAUACCCCUCUCCGAAAGGAAUGGGUAACCCGUUGAACCUCCUUCGUGAUUGGGAUAGGGGCUUGAAAUUGUUCCCCUUGAACGAGGAAUUCCCAGUAAGCGCGAGUCAUAAGCUUGCGUUGAUUACGUCCCUGCCCUUUGUACACACCGCCCGUCGCUACUACCGAUUGAAUGAUUUAGUGAGGUCUUCAGAUCGAAACCCGGAGAGGCCCUCACGGGUUGCGCCGGCGUGACGGAAAGAUGACCAACUUGAUCAUUUAGAGGAAGUA
rnacentral:rRNA from 1 species